ensembl:snRNA U6 U6 spliceosomal RNA
GUGCUUGCUUUAGCAGCAUAUAUACUAAAACUGGAACAUACAGAGAAGAUUAGCAUGACCCCUGUGUAAGAAUGACACUCAAAUUUGUGAUACAUUCCAUAUUAAA